GAUGAACGCUGGCGGCGUGCCUAAUACAUGCAAGUCGAGCGAACGGACGAGAAGCUUGCUUCUCUGAUGUUAGCGGCGGACGGGUGAGUAACACGUGGAUAACCUACCUAUAAGACUGGGAUAACUUCGGGAAACCGGAGCUAAUACCGGAUAAUAUUUUGAACCGCAUGGUUCAAAAGUGAAAGACGGUCUUGCUGUCACUUAUAGAUGGAUCCGCGCUGCAUUAGCUAGUUGGUAAGGUAACGGCUUACCAAGGCAACGAUGCAUAGCCGACCUGAGAGGGUGAUCGGCCACACUGGAACUGAGACACGGUCCAGACUCCUACGGGAGGCAGCAGUAGGGAAUCUUCCGCAAUGGGCGGAAGCCUGACGGAGCAACGCCGCGUGAGUGAUGAAGGUCUUCGGAUCGUAAAACUCUGUUAUUAGGGAAGAACAUAUGUGUAAGUAACUGUGCACAUCUUGACGGUACCUAAUCAGAAAGCCACGGCUAACUACGUGCCAGCAGCCGCGGUAAUACGUAGGUGGCAAGCGUUAUCCGGAAUUAUUGGGCGUAAAGCGCGCGUAGGCGGUUUUUUAAGUCUGAUGUGAAAGCCCACGGCUCAACCGUGGAGGGUCAUUGGAAACUGGAAAACUUGAGUGCAGAAGAGGAAAGUGGAAUUCCAUGUGUAGCGGUGAAAUGCGCAGAGAUAUGGAGGAACACCAGUGGCGAAGGCGACUUUCUGGUCUGUAACUGACGCUGAUGUGCGAAAGCGUGGGGAUCAAACAGGAUUAGAUACCCUGGUAGUCCACGCCGUAAACGAUGAGUGCUAAGUGUUAGGGGGUUUCCGCCCCUUAGUGCUGCAGCUAACGCAUUAAGCACUCCGCCUGGGGAGUACGACCGCAAGGUUGAAACUCAAAGGAAUUGACGGGGACCCGCACAAGCGGUGGAGCAUGUGGUUUAAUUCGAAGCAACGCGAAGAACCUUACCAAAUCUUGACAUCCUUUGACAACUCUAGAGAUAGAGCCUUCCCCUUCGGGGGACAAAGUGACAGGUGGUGCAUGGUUGUCGUCAGCUCGUGUCGUGAGAUGUUGGGUUAAGUCCCGCAACGAGCGCAACCCUUAAGCUUAGUUGCCAUCAUUAAGUUGGGCACUCUAAGUUGACUGCCGGUGACAAACCGGAGGAAGGUGGGGAUGACGUCAAAUCAUCAUGCCCCUUAUGAUUUGGGCUACACACGUGCUACAAUGGACAAUACAAAGGGCAGCGAAACCGCGAGGUCAAGCAAAUCCCAUAAAGUUGUUCUCAGUUCGGAUUGUAGUCUGCAACUCGACUACAUGAAGCUGGAAUCGCUAGUAAUCGUAGAUCAGCAUGCUACGGUGAAUACGUUCCCGGGUCU
rnacentral:rRNA from 1 species